rnacentral:rRNA from 1 species
UACGUAGGUCCCGAGCGUUGUCCGGAUUUAUUGGGCGUAAAGCGAGCGCAGGUGGUUUAUUAAGUCUGGUGUAAAAGGCAAUGGCUCAACCAUUGUAUGCAUUGGAAACUGGUAGACUUGAGUGCAGGAGAGGAGAGUGGAAUUCCAUGUGUAGCGGUGAAAUGCGUAGAUAUAUGGAGGAACACCGGUGGCGAAAGCGGCUCUCUGGCCUGUAACUGACACUGAGGCUCGAAAGCGUGGGUAUCGAACAGG